UACGUAGGCAGCAAGCGUUGUUCGGAGUUACUGGGCGUAAAGGGUGUGUAGGCGGUUUUCUAAGUCUGGUGUGAAAUCUCCCGGCUCAACUGGGAGGGUGCGCCGAAAACUGGAAGGCUAGAGUGCGGGAUGGGAGAGUGGAAUUCCUGGUGUAGCGGUGAAAUGCGUAGAUAUCAGGAGGAACACCGGUGGCGAAGGCGGUUCUCUGGGCCUUACCUGACACUGAGGAGCGAAAGCGUGGGGAGCGAACAGG
rnacentral:rRNA from 1 species